GUUAGCUCUGGGGAGGUGUGCUGACACAGUGACUAGUGAGGCCCAGGCAAGGCCGACCCACCUUGGCGCCGAUGUCGCGGCUCUUGGCCCGCAGCUUGUUGACCUGGGACUCGGCGAUGUCUGCCCGCUCCUCGGCCUCAUCCAGCUCGUGCUGCACCUUGCGGAACUUGGACAGGUUGGUGUUGGCCUGCUCCUCCUGCGGGGGUCGGGAUGGGGAGGAGGAGGAAAGAGUCUGGGGAGCUCAUGGAAUCCUGAAAUCCUGCACAAAAACCAUGCAUGUUCGCUGUUCCAGGGAGCAGGCCCUUAGGGGUCCUGUGGAGGAUAAACUCUCCUGUUCUAAAAGCCAGCGCGUGAUGGUAGUAACGUUGGGAUUGCAUGCUGAGAUUUCCCGGGCUGCAGGGAAGGGACUCGAUCUAAGGACAUGUGUGUCCUUUCUGGACUUUCUGGGUUGGAACAGGAGUAAAAUCUAAUUAGGAGUCUGAUUGUAGA